ACACUGGAUGCUGAAAUGUGACU
rnacentral:siRNA from 1 species